ensembl:lncRNA
UAUUAUUGGAACAAGAUUCAAUCUUUUUUUUUUCAUUCAUUCCCCUGCAUGGUUGAUAAUCUCCAUUCCAUGUUCCAUGUCUAUGAUAUAACACUAGAUGGCGACAGUGGACUGUCGGACUGUGGUAGACUUCAAGUCAGUCCUGUCUGACUUUAACAAAGAAGCUUUUGAGGAGGUUUCAGAACUUUUGGCACACAUUUCUGCUAUCUAAAAAGUAAUGUGAUCAGCUUUUGCUGCUACUGUAGACUGUGUCAGCGAUUUCUCAUUCGGUAAAACGGGGGAAAGACAAAGCAAAUAAUAAAGAACGAACUUUGUAGAACAUUCGGAUGACAUCUUUAAAUGGCAUAUUUUUAAAUCAAAUAUGUUCUGGAUAAGGAUGUGUGUGUGUGUGUGUGUGUGUGUGUGUGUGUGUGUUUAAUUACUUGUGUCUCUGGGCUAAAAUACAAUGUGUCUUUGUAAGUGCUUGGCUUUUGGUCAGAAAUAGCCUCGGAUUAGAGUGACUGAAUCACUCACUUAUCGAAGUUUCAUUUAUCUUUCCUUGCAUGUCCUUAUAUUCUCAUCUUUCCAUCUCUCUGCAGUGUUUAUUAUUCUGCAUCAAACUUUCUGUUCCAGCUUUACCAAAGUUGCAUGCCCUCUUGAGUCCACAAAUCUCAUUCUUCACAGCCAGGGUUGUAUGACACAUUCAGAGCACAGAAUGAGAGGCCCAGCUUGGCUUGACAUUGAAAAUACAUGUCUCUCUGUGUGCGGAGAAUUGCUGUAUAUUUUCAUCUGGGAAGUGGACACCUGUUCAGGAAUGAGAAGGAGGAAGGGGGGCAGUAUCAAUGGGUGCUGACAAGCUGGAACCUUCCUUUAUGCAGCAAAAAGAAACAGAGAAAGCCUACAUGAAGACUGGAUCCUAGGCUGUGUCUCAAACAUCCAGCUGAUUCAUUUAAUUUGAUUUUAACUUUAAUAUGGUUAGUUAGUUUGUUUAGAAUUUAAUCAAGAGAUUUGGUCAAACUGGAAUGCUGAGUAUGCUGAAAGUGCUUUGAACGCUGUCUUCUGGAGAUGCUGGAUAUCAUUUGGCACAAUGCUAAAAGUGCAUGCACUCUCUAGUGCCUAGCAGCUCAGUGUACAUCAUUGUACACUCAUUGAGGAGCAGUAUGGAAUUGAACGAGUAAACUUAAAUGUCCACUGUGGUUUUGGACAAAUAGUGCACUGUAUACUCGUAAAAGAGGGGCAAUUUUAAACACAGCCUAAAACAUCAAUCUUUGCAUGUCACUUCUAUUUCUUCCAGUUUGAGAAAGAAUUAACCUGAAGUCAGAGAAAACCCCACGGCUAUGUUCGAAAUCACAUACUUUUUGAGUAGGAACUUUAUUUGAAUUGUUCUAUAUCAUUGGUCUCAAAUUCAAUUCCUGGAGGGCCACAGCUCUGCAUAGUUUAGCUCCAACCCUAAUCAAACUCCCCUGAUCCAGCUAAUCAAGGUCUUCAGGAUUAAUAGAAGCUUUCAAUGAGUUGGAGCUGGUUGGAGCUAAACUCUGCAGAGUUGUCCUCCGGGAAUUGAGUUUGAGACCACUGUUCUAUAUGGUAUGAAUGUAUGUAUGUAAUCUGGUCUGGACAUAUUACAUUUGUCAUUUACAACUCCCGUGACCUGACGGGAUGGCCUAGUGUCCACUAGAUGCACAUAUCUGAACUUUGCUGGUAGUAGUAAGUCAUCUGGAUAGUUUUCACCUACUGUUUUAUGCAUACUAUGAAUUUGAACACACUAUUUUUCACGUAGGCCUAAUGUUUUCACACACUAUAUGUGAAUGUAGGCAUACAGGGCAUCUGAAAACAGGCUCUCUGACCUAAAUUUUUCAUCAUAAUAUUACAAUUUUAAUUUAAAUUAUAAACAGGAAGGGAACGAAGAACAUUUAGGCCUAAAUUAUCAAAGAAUAUCUCUAAGUCUAAGUCUCUGAGUUUAAAACUCUUACAAAAACAUAAUUUAUAAUCAUUGAAGCUGUCUACAUUGUGAAAUAAACCUCUUAUUGUACGUGUAACUGCA